rnacentral:rRNA from 1 species
ACGGAGGGUGCAAGCGUUAUCCGGAAUCACUGGGUUUAAAGGGUGCGUAGGCGGUGUUAUAAGUCAGAGGUGAAAGCUUGCAGCUUAACUGUGAAAUUGCCUUUGAAACUGUAGCACUUGAAUUAAGUUGAGGUUAGCGGAAUGUGACAUGUAGCGGUGAAAUGCAUAGAUAUGUCAUAGAACACCAAUUGCGAAGGCAGCUGACUAGACUUAUAUUGACGCUGAGGCACGAAAGCGUGGGGAGCGAACAGG